UGUCAACUAAGGGGAGCCACGCGCAUCUUUCUACACAAAUCAACGACUCCAGAUAUUCUAUUUCCUCUCCUCUCCCUCGGCACUCUCAUCUCUGUCUCUUUCAGACUUGCCCUUUCCCGUGCUCAUGACGUUUCAGAUGAAGUCUUAAGGAGCUGCAGUGUCCUGCCAAAAGGAAUGCCUCCGCUUGGAACCGCCCUCAUUGACAUGGCAGCUGUUCCGAAAUUCCGGAUGCCCUCGACCCUUGGGAACCCGAGCUCAGAUGGCCCGCGCCGAGCGGGAGCAG